ACGAAAUGGGGGUCCUUUGAAAUGGAACUCGUUUUCCCUAAAAUUAUGUGAUGAUGUUGUUAAAACCUUACCGUAAAUUUACUGUUCCUAUUAUAUAUUUAUUGUACAACUUUAUGUAAACAUUGUUAACUUUUUAUUAUUCUUUCCUUUGUUUUUACAAUCGGAACAGCUGUGAAUUGUUUACUUCAAAUGAAGUACACCAAUGACGUCAUAACCUAUUUUUGUUAUGACGUCGGCUCUGGGUUUGGUAAUUUAG
rnacentral:lncRNA from 1 species